rnacentral:rRNA from 1 species
UAGACCGCCUGGGGAGUACGGCCGCAAGGUUAAAACUCAAAUGAAUUGACGGGGGCCCGCACAAGCGGUGGAGCAUGUGGUUUAAUUCGAUGCAACGCGAAGAACCUUACCUGGUCUUGACAUCCACAGAACUUUCCAGAGAUGGAUUGGUGCCUUCGGGAACUGUGAGACAGGUGCUGCAUGGCUGUCGUCAGCUCGUGUUGUGAAAUGUUGGGUUAAGUCCCGCAACGAGCGCAACCCUUAUCCUUUGUUGCCAGCGGUCCGGCCGGGAACUCAAAGGAGACUGCCAGUGAUAAACUGGAGGAAGGUGGGGAUGACGUCAAGUCAUCAUGGCCCUUACGACCAGGGCUACACACGUGCUACAAUGGCGCAUACAAAGAGAAGCGACCUCGC